GAUGAACGCUGGCGGCGUGCCUAAUACAUGCAAGUCGAGCGAACAGAUGAGGAGCUUGCUCCUCUGACGUUAGCGGCGGACGGGUGAGUAACACGUGGAUAACCUACCUAUAAGACUGGGAUAACUUCGGGAAACCGGAGCUAAUACCGGAUAAUAUAUUGAACCGCAUGGUUCAAUAGUGAAAGACGGUUUUGCUGUCACUUAUAGAUGGAUCCGCGCCGCAUUAGCUAGUUGGUAAGGUAACGGCUUACCAAGGCAACGAUGCGUAGCCGACCUGAGAGGGUGGUCGGCCACACUGGAACUGAGAAACGGUCCAGACUCCUACGGGAGGCAGCAGUAGGGAAUCUUCCGCAAUGGACGAAAGCCUGACGGAGCAACGCCGCGUGAGUGAUGAAGGUCUUCGGAUCGUAAAACUCUGUUAGUAGGGAAGAACAAAUGUGUAAGUAACUAUGCACGUCUUGACGGUACCUAAUCAGAAAGCCACGGCUAACUACGUG
rnacentral:rRNA from 1 species